rnacentral:rRNA from 1 species
UACGUAGGGGGCAAGCGUUGUCCGGAAUCAUUGGGCGUAAAGCGCACGUAGGCGGUUUGUUAAGUCAGGGGUGAAAUCCCGGAGCUCAACUCCGGAACUGCCUUUGAUACUGGCAAGCUAGAGUCCGGAAGAGGUAAGUGGAACUCCUAGUGUAGAGGUGGAAUUCGUAGAUAUUAGGAAGAACACCAGUGGCGAAGGCGGCUUACUGGUCCGGAACUGACGCUGAGGUGCGAAAGCGUGGGGAGCAAACAGG